CUGGAGAGUCCAGACUGUAGACUGGAGACUCUGAGAUUGAAGUGCUGCAGGUUGUCAAAGAUCAGCUGUGAUUAUCUGGUCUCAGCUCUGACGUCCAACCCCUCCCAUCUGAAACAUCUGGACCUGAGUGGAAAUUACCUGCAGAAUUCAGAUAUGAAGCAGCUUCUUGAUCUUGAGAAGAGUCCAGACUGUAGACUGGAGACUCUGAGCUGGAAGUAAAGGUAAACAGGAUGAUAUGUGAGCUGAGAGAGGAUGAGCUGAGUCCUGAUGAUCCAGAGGUUGAAUCAGCAGCAGCUUGUGUGUAGAGAGACUCUGACUGGACCAUGUUACUGGGAGGUGGAGUCAAGAGGAGAGCUUCAUCCACAUGUUUCUCAUUUAACAUAAUCGACAGAGCUGCAAUCAAUCUAUUCUAACAGAACCAACAAAUAAAGUCCAGUUACUCUGGAAUUUUUUAGAUACAUUAAAAACAAUAUAGUCUAUGUAGAUGUAAAGUUCCCAGCAUCAACAAUCCUUUCUGUUGUUUCUUGUUGCUGAAUGUGUAUAUAUUUGUCCCAUCUGUAUUGUAUUUUGUGUCAUGUGGUUGUCAUUUUACAUUGUAUCUUUGUUGUCAUUUGGUUGUAAAGUAAAAUCUCUCCUGGUUGUAUUUUUUA